rnacentral:rRNA from 2 species
UGGGGAAUAUUGGACAAUGGGCGCAAGCCUGAUCCAGCAAUGCCGCGUGAGUGAUGAAGGCCCUCGGGUCGUAAAGCUCUUUUACCAGGGAUGAUAAUGACAGUACCUGGAGAAUAAGCUCCGGCUAACUCCGUGCCAGCAGCCGCGGUAAUACGGAGGGAGCUAGCGUUGUUCGGAAUUACUGGGCGUAAAGCGCACGUAGGCGGCUACUCAAGUCAGAGGUGAAAGCCCGGGGCUCAACCCCGGAACUGCCUUUGAAACUAGGUGGCUAGAAUCUUGGAGAGGCGAGUGGAAUUCCGAGUGUAGAGGUGAAAUUCGUAGAUAUUCGGAAGAACACCAGUGGCGAAGGCGACUCGCUGGACAAGUAUUGACGCUGAGGUGCGAAAGCGUGGGGAGCAAACAGG